rnacentral:rRNA from 1 species
UACGUAGGGUGCGAGCGUUGUCCGGAAUUAUUGGGCGUAAAGGGCUCGUAGGCGGUCUGUUGCGUCGGGAGUGAAAACUCAGGGCUUAACCCUGAGCCUGCUUCCGAUACGGGCAGACUAGAGGUAUGCAGGGGAGAACGGAAUUCCUGGUGUAGCGGUGAAAUGCGCAGAUAUCAGGAGGAACACCGGUGGCGAAGGCGGGUCUCUGGACAGUUCCUGACGCUGAGGCACGAAGGCCAGGGGAGCAAACGGG